rnacentral:misc_RNA from 1 species
GGAUUUUCUCUAAACCCAAAUGGCACGUUUACACUUGUUUCUUGUUCUUUUUCUUCUUCUCAUUAUCUCCGCCGCCGCACACGGCGGAGCACACGGCGGGGAUCAUGACGGAGAUGCUGACUCAGAUUCCGACUUAUCUGAACAAUCUGACAAACCCCAUUUGAGAUCUCGGCCAUUGGUUUUAGUGAAGAUAUGGUGUUUGAUAAUAGUCUUCUUUGCGACUUUUAUUGGUGGGGUUUCACCUUAUUUCAUGAAAUGGAAUGAGGGGUUUUUGGUUCUUGGAACACAAUUUGCUGGUGGGGUUUUCUUGGGAACUGCGCUUAUGCAUUUUUUAAGUGAUGCUAAUGAGACUUUUGGGGAAUUGACAAGUAAAGAAUACCCUUUUGCUUAUAUGUUGGCAUGUGCUGGUUAUUUGAUGACUAUGUUAGCUGAUUCUGUUAUCUGUUUUGUUUAUGCUAAGCAGAACAACAACAACAAUGAUGUGCAGCUCCAAGAUACUGAAAAUGGAAAAAGCAAUGGAGCAGUCGCACAGGGGCAGUCACAGGUCUCUGAUGGCAGAGAAAAUGACUAUUCAAAAGCACCUCUUGCAACAGCUUCUUCACUUGGUGAUAGCAUCUUAUUGAUCGUUGCACUAUGUUUCCAUUCCGUCUUUGAGGGAAUAGCCAUUGGUGUUGCAGAUUCACAAGCCGAUGCUUGGAGAGCUCUUUGGACUGUAAGUUUACACAAGAUAUUUGCUGCUAUUGCAAUGGGAAUAGCUCUACUUAGGAUGAUCCCAAAUCGCCCUUUACUAUCAUGCGCGGCCUAUGCUUUUGCCUUUGCCAUCUCUAGUCCAAUUGGCGUUGCCAUCGGAAUCAUAAUCGAUGCCACAACUCAAGGGGUUGUUGCAGACUGGAUCUUUGCAAUAUCAAUGGGAUUGGCUUGUGGGGUUUUUAUAUUUGUAUCCAUUAAUCAUUUGCUUUCUAAGGGAUACAAGCCUCAAAAAAUGGUCAAGAUUGACAAGCCUCAUUUCAAGUUUUUGGCUGUUUUGUUAGGUGUUGGGAUAAUUGCUGUGGUGAUGAUAUGGGACACUUGAGUUUGUGCUUUGAUGAUUAUUUUGGCAGAAGUAGCAUAAUAGUUUACCAUUUUAUAUUGAGAAUACUUUUGUUUAAAAAUAUUUAUAUACGAG